CGGCGCCACGAGUGGGAACCGUUUAUUUGGCCUAAAGCGUCCGUAGCUGGUUUGUUAAGUCUUUUGUGAAAUCAUGGAGCUUAACUUCAUGGCGUGCAGAAGAAACUGAUAAACUUGGAACCGGAAGGCGUCAGAAGUAUGUUUGGGGGAGCGGUAAAAUGUUAUAAUCCCAGAUAGACUACCUGUGGCGAAGGCGUCUGACGAGUACGGAUUCGACAGUGAGGGACGAAAGCCAGGGGAGCGAUCCGGAUUAGAUACCCGAGUAGUCC
rnacentral:rRNA from 1 species